rnacentral:rRNA from 1 species
AACGAACGCUGGCGGCAUGCCUAACACAUGCAAGUCGAACGAGACCUUCGGGUCUAGUGGCGCACGGGUGCGUAACGCGUGGGAACCUGUCCUUAGGUUCGGAAUAACGCCUCGAAAGGGGUGCUAAUACCGGAUAAUGUCUUCGGACCAAAGAUUUAUCGCCUUUGGAUGGGGCCCGCGUUUGGAUUAGCUAGUUGGUG